rnacentral:rRNA from 1 species
GACGAACGCUGGCGGCGUGCUUAACACAUGCAAGUCGAACGGAAAGGCCCUGCUUUUGUGGUGGGCUCGAGUGGCGAACGGGUGAGUAACACGUGAGUAACCUGCCCAUGACUUUGGGAUAACUUCAGGAAACGGGGGCUAAUACCGGAUAGGAGCUCCUGCUGCAUGGUGGGGGUGGGAAAGUUUCGGCGGUUGGGGAUGGACUCGCGGCUUAUCAGCUUGUUGGUGGGGUAGUGGCUUACCAAGGCUUUGACGGGUAGCCGGCCUGAGAGGGUGACCGGCCACAUUGGGACUGAGAUACGGCCCAGACUCCUACGGGAGGCAGCAGUGGGGAAUAUUGCACAAUGGGCGGAAGCCUGAUGCAGCAACGCCGCGUGCGGGAUGACGGCCUUCGGGUUGUAAACCGCUUUCGCCUGUGACGAAGCGUGAGUGACGGUAAUGGGUAAAGAAGCACCGGCUAACUACGUG